rnacentral:snRNA from 1 species
GUAGCAUUCUCGGCCUUUUGGCUAAGAUCAAGUGUAGUAUCUGUUCUUAUCAGUUUAAUAUCUGAUACGUCCUCGAUGUAGUAUCUGUUCUUAUCAGUUUAAUAUCUGAUACGUCCU